rnacentral:rRNA from 1 species
UUACCAUACCUUUGUUGCUUUGGCGGGCCCGUCUCGCGACCGCCGGCUUCGGCUGGCCCGCGCCCGCCAGAGGACCACCAACUCUGAUUAUCAUGCCGUCUGAGUAUUACACAAAUACGUUAAAACUUUCAACAACGGAUCUCUUGGUUCUGGCAUCGAUGAAGAACGCAGCGAAAUGCGAUAAGUAAUGUGAAUUGCAGAAUUCAGUGAAUCAUCGAAUCUUUGAACGCACAUUGCGCCCUCUGGUAUUCCGGGGGGCAUGCCUGUUCGAGCGUCAUUACAACCCUCAAGCUCUGCUUGGUGUUGGGCGGUACCGCGCGCGGUACGCCUCAAACGCAGUGGCGGCGCCGCUCGGCUCCUAGCGUAGUAGCAACUCUCGCUACGGGGACCGGGCGGUUUGCCUGCCAGCAACCCACACUU